rnacentral:rRNA from 2 species
CGCAGCAAAGAGGGGGACCUUCGGGCCUCUCGCGUCAGGAUUAGCCCAGGUGGGAUUAGCUUGUUGGUGGGGUAAUGGCUCACCAAGGCAACGAUCCCUAGCUGGUCUGAGAGGAUGAUCAGCCACACUGGAACUGAGACACGGUCCAGACUCCUACGGGAGGCAGCAGUGGGGAAUAUUGCACAAUGGGGGAAACCCUGAUGCAGCCAUGCCGCGUGUAUGAAGAAGGCCUUCGGGUUAUAAAGUACUUUCAGUUGUGAGGAAGGCAGUAAAGUUAAUAGCUUUGCUGUUUGACGUUAGCAACAGAAGAAGCACCGGCUAACUCCGUGCCAGCAGCCGCGGUAAUACGGAGGGUGCGAGCGUUAAUCGGAAUUACUGGGGCGUAAAGCGCAUGCAGGUGGUCUGUUAAGCAAGAUGUGAAAGCCCGGGGCUCAACCCUCGGAACAGCAUUUUGAACUGGGCAGACUAGAGUACUGUAGAGGGGGGGUAGAAAUUUCAGGUGUAGCGGUGAA